GGGACGAGACAGGGAUGGCUACUGCGCAGCCUUGGGAACGCACGGACCGCUCCCAGGCUCCGCACUUCAAACGGGCGAACUGUGUGGUGUCUGAACCGCAUCUUGGUUCAAGCUGGUUUGGGCUGGUUUUGUGUCAAGGACGCCGGCCUGCCGAGGGGGCUCACGUGAGCUUCCUGUGUUCUUCACACCAGCGCGGUUUCCCUGCUGCCUCCUCCGGGCCACAGACACUUCCUCCAGGCCUGUGGCCCCUUGUUUAAAUAACACAAGCAAGUGCAGUUUCUUGUCACUAGAAACCCCCCCAUAUUUUCUAGCUAUGAGUUCUACAGGGAACGCCCGGAAAGCUAGAAUAAAAACGGGAAAAUACUGACUUUAAAAGCUUUUCUUCCGCAGUACUGGGUCCCUGCUGAUCGCUGAUCUGCGUCUCUUUCUUCCUCUCCCUUCGGAUGAAGGAAAAGAAAAGGAGGCGCAUGUCUAUUCGAGAGGUAGUCACCGCCACAGUUCCACGGUGUGAAAACACAGACCCGACAGCCCCAGGGAGGAGGCCGUGAGUGCCUGAGGUGACCUGGCAAGAAGACAAGUGACAGGGAGUCAGCCAGGGCAGGAUUCGGCCCCAAGGCCCUCGCAGCACCCUGCAGCACCCUGUCUGUCAGACCGCGGUGGAAAUGUCACUCGUCGGACAGAAAGACACUGGGCCCAAGUGCUUCAGGAGCUGCAGCAGCCGAACGGGUGUGCAAUGCCCACACUGAUGUGUUUGUCUGAGACCGAGGCCGGUCACCAGCUCGGAGGACGUUCUGUGCGUGUGAACCUGCCUGGGACUUGAAUGGGCAUCAGAAUGACCACUUGUAAGCAUUUGUAUGUCCGUUCCAAUUUCCCCAGCGUUUUAUUUUGAACUUAAAUCUGCAGAAAAGUUGAUUGUUUAGAUGCCCUUCAUCGGUGUCACUGUUAAUGCUUCGCAGCAUCUCCUCCCCCCCACGUAGACAUACACCCCCGCCACACACCUACACACAUGUGCACACACCCGCACGCACCCGCACACACACGUUAGCGUCUCCCGCAUUUCGAGGUGUCUAACACUCUGUAGUGAGCCACAGCUUAAGUGGCAACAUUUUCUCCACCUUCCCCAGGGGCUCAAACACAAGGUCACGGUGUGUGUGACAGUCAGAUACACCUCAGACCCAAGAGACAAAAGAAGGGUCAGAGUGCGCAGCGCGGCGUGGGGCUCCCUGCCAGCGCUGCCCCGGUGACGGCUGCCCUUACUGAGUCCCGCCUUCCCAGGCUCCGUCAAUCAGGUCUGUUUCGAGGCUGUGCCGAUAGGUGUGUGUGCGUUUCAGGACUGUCUCACCUUCCCCACGAACUGACACUCUCCAUGGCUGUAUAACGGUCCUCUCAACUCUAGUGGUGCUUGGUGCCUUAAAAUCUAGUUUGUAUGAUAUUAAUAUAGUAAAAGAAACUUUCUUGGUUAGAAUUGGCCCGGUACAUCCUUUACCCUCUUUUCCAAUUUUUCUGUAGUCUUAUGUUUUCUGUGGGUCUUCUAAAGACAGCUCAAGAGUCACUAUUAAUUUGUCAAGUACAGUCUGACAAUAUUGUCUUUUACUGGACCAUUGAAUCUACUCACUUUCGGAUUUAUUUCUAUCACAUUACUUGACCCUUUCUGUUAGUUCUGCCUUUCUUUUUUCAAAAGCGCUGUCUUUCCUCCGGCCCCGUUGGAGGAAUCUCUUGGCGGAGAACUCUGUCGCAGUCCACCUUUCGUUUCUCAGCCCCGGCCACGCUGGCAUUUGGACCCAGACAAUUCCGGGCCGUGUGUCCCCGGGGGUCUGCCUCGUAUGUGCCCGGUGCUUUGGGCAUCCGGAGGCCUGCGGUGCCCCUCUAGCGGGGACAGCCAGAGGUGUCUCCAGAUGUCAUCCAGGGCCCCUGGGUGACACAACAGCCCCUUUCUCCAGCUGAGAACUGCUUCUCCGGGGAUGAAGUUAUGCUUGAAAUUUUCACCUACGUGACGUGUCCAGGUCAAAUCUGUACUUUCUCCGAAAUGCAGCGGGAACCUGCGGCGCUGGCUCUUCCCUUGUUCCCCUCUCUGAGUGUUAGUUGCUGUUUUGCAGACCCAGAACAUACCGUAUUUUGCCGUGUAUAAUGUGCACCCAUGUUUUUGGCUCAAAC